CACAGACUAAGUACCCACUGUCAUCUCCCAAAGAUCAUUUCUCCAGUUAUUGACUGGUUUAAAAUCACACUAUUAUAAAUAUGAACACGUAAGGAAGGCAAAUUAUUGUGGUCACAUACAGGUAGAAGAACAAAGGAUGAAGAACAAAGAAAGAAACAAUAUUCAUAGAUAAAAUAUAGAGAGAUGACGAUGACUUAUUUACAUAGUAGCAAGUGUUUGUUUUAAAUAUAUAUAUACUCACACACAUAUAAACAUAUAUAUAUACACACAUGAAU
rnacentral:lncRNA from 10 species